AUUGAACGCUGGCGGCAGGCUUAACACAUGCAAGUCGAGCGAGCGGCGGACGGGUGAGUAAUGUCUGGGAAACUGCCUGAUGGAGGGGGAUAACUACUGGAAACGGUAGCUAAUACCGCAUACCAUCAGAUGGGCCAAGAUGGGAUUAGCUAGGAGGUGGGGUAAUGGACCACCUAGUCGACGAUCCCUAGCAGGUCUGAGAGGAUGACCGGCCAGACGGGAACUGAGACACGGUCCAGACUCCUACGGGAGGCAGCAGUGGGGAAUAUUGCACAAUGGGCGCAAGCCUGAUGCAGCCAUGCCGCGUGUGUGAAGAAGGCUUUCGGGUUGUAAAGCACUUACAGCGAGGAGGAGUUACUCGCAGAAGAAGCACCGGCUAACUCCGUGCCAGCCGCCGCGGUAAUUG
rnacentral:rRNA from 1 species